CGUACACUCCUACGGGAGGCAGCAGUGGGGAAUAUUGGACAAUGGGCGCAAGCCUGAUCCAGCCAUGCCGCGUGAGUGAUGAAGGCCCUAGGGUUGUAAAGCUCUUUCACCGGGGAAGAUAAUGACGGUAACCGGAGAAGAAGCCCCGGCUAACUUCGUGCCAGCAGCCGCGGUAAUACGAAGGGGGCUAGCGUUGUUCGGAUUUACUGGGCGUAAAGCGCACGUAGGCGGACUAUUAAGUCAGGGGUGAAAUCCCGGGGCUCAACCCCGGAACUGCCUUUGAUACUGGUAGUCUUGAGUUCGAGAGAGGUGAGUGGAAUUCCGAGUGGAGAGGUGAAAUUCGUAGAUAUUCGGAGGAACACCAGUGGCGAAGGCGGCUCACUGGCUCGAUACUGACGCUGAGGUGCGAAAGCGUGGGGAGCAAACAGGAUUAGAAACCCUUGUAGUCCCAUGAU
rnacentral:rRNA from 1 species